rnacentral:rRNA from 1 species
GGCAGACGGGUGAGUAACAUGUGGGAAUCUGCCUUGUGGUUCAGGACAACAUUGGGAAACCGAUGCUAAUACUGGAUAAGCCCUUACGGGGAAAGUUUUAAUGCCAUAAGAUGAGCCCGCACUUGAUUAGUUAGUUGGUGAGGUAAUGGCUCACCAAGACAAUGAUCAAUAGCUGAUCUGAGAGGAUGAUCAGCCACACUGGGACUGAGACACGGCCCAGACUCCUACGGGAGGCAGCAGUGGGGAAUCUUGCACAAUGGAGGAAACUCUGAUGCAGCGAUGCCGCGUGAGUGAAGAAGGCCUUUGGGUUGUAAAGCUCUUUUGUAGGGGAAGAUAAUGACUGUACCCUAAGAAUAAGGUCCGGCUAACUUCGUGCCAGCAGCCGCGGUAAUACGAAGGGACCUAGCGUAGUUCGGAAUUACUGGGCGUAAAGCGCGCGUAGGCCGUUGAGUUAGUUAAUUGUGAAAUCCCAAAGCUUAACUUUGGAACUGCAAUUAAAACUGCUCGACUAGAGUUUGAUAGAGGAAAGCGGAAUACAUAGUGUAGAGGUGAAAUUCGUAGAUAUUAUGUAGAACACCAGUUGCGAAGGCGGCUUUCUGGAUCAACACUGACGCUGAGGCGCGAAAGUAUGGGUAGCAAAGAGGAUUAGAUACCCUCGUAGUCCAUACCAUAAACGAUGAUUGCUAGAUGUUGGAAAUUUAUUUUCAGUAUCGCAGCUAACGCAUUAAGCAAUCCGCCUGGGGAGUACGACC